rnacentral:lncRNA from 1 species
AUGUCUUUCUUUAUGUUGGGAAAGUUUUCUUCUAUGAUUUUGUUGAAUAUGUUUUCUGCACAUUUGAGUUGGGUUUCUUUACCUUCUUUUAUACUUAUUAUCUUUAAGUUUGCUCUUUUCACUGUGUCCCGUAUUUCCUGGAUAUUUUGUGUUAAGGAUUUGUUGCACUUAAGAUUUUCUUUGCUUGAUGAAACUAUUUCUUUUAGUUUAUCUUCAUUGUCUGAGAUUCUGUCUCCCAUCUUUUGUAUUCUAUUGGUUAUGCUUGCAUCUGUGGUUCCUGAUUGUUCAGUCAGCUUUUCAGGCAUUUUCCACUUCCAGCAUUCCCUCAGUUUAUGUUUUCUUUAUUGUUUCAAUUUCAGUUUUCAUGUAUUGAACUGUGUGAAUUGUUUCCUUCAGUUUUUCAUUGUAUUUUCAUGGGGUUCCUUAAAAGAUUUGUGGAUUUCUUACAUCUUUUGGUUUGUCUUUUCUUCCAUUUCUCUAAAGGAUUUUCUCAUUUCUUCUCUUAUUGUCUCUAUCAUCUGCAUGAAAUUGUUUUUAAGGUUGCUCUCUUCUGCUUCUUCUGUAUUGGAAUGUUCAGUCUCUAGGCUCUGUUGGCAUCAUUUUGGUUUUGCUGUUGCUGGAUGUGUUCCUAUAUUGUCAUCUUUCCAUCUUUACUUCCAGUGGGUGCAGGUGGUAUCUCUUACUUUCCUGGUCCAUCAUUCUUUGCCGGUGGGUACAAGAGUGUCCAAUACUCUGAUGGGUCUCAAGGUGGGUGCAGGCAGGUCUGAUGCACUUUGUCUCCAGGUGAGUGGAAGCAGGACUAGCAAAGAGAUGUCAGCAGACUCAAGCAUGCUUGGUCCUUGGGACCAAGUCAUCCUGCCUGUAGACCCCAGGAUGGUUGUUCCCAGAGUGGGUAGACAGAAGUUGGGCCCAAGGCUGGGUCUGAAUCAGCUCACCUCUACCCUGAGUGGGGGUGGGAGUAGCCCAGAGUUCUUAGAGUGGACAGGCAGAAGUUGGGUUGAAGGUAUAUUUUUAAGUCAAUCCAACCAUUUGAAAAAUUAA